CGGAGCAGCCGCUGCCGGCCCGGGCUGGGGCGGUAACACGGCAAUUUUACACGGCUCUCGCCAACUUGGACUAAGUGCGGGCUUAGGGGAGCCACCAGCUACCCCAAAGAGUCUGUGCAUGCUCCUGGGAAUAAAAACACCGGCAGAGACAUUCCAGGUGAGCUGGGACAGGUGGAUUUUACCUACCACCCCCAUCCACGCCCAAGAACCCCAUUAUAUCCUGCGUUCAGCCCAGCAUUUAUCAACAUGAAUCCUGCAUUCCCAGCACAUCACAAGCUACUCAAGGCAUCAUUUCGCCACAAAGAUCCCCCAGUCUGGAACAAAUUGGUAAAAUAAAGUGAGUUUUCAACACACACUAA